CGCCCUUCCUACGGGAGGCAGCAGUGGGGAAUUUUGGACAAUGGGCGAAAGCCUGAUCCAGCCAUGCCGCGUGAGUGAAGAAGGCCUUCGGGUUGUAAAGCUCUUUCGGUCGGGAAGAAAUAGUUGUGGCUAAUAUCCACAAUGAAUGACGUNCCGNC
rnacentral:rRNA from 1 species